UCUAAUGUGGCAGAAAAGUGCAUUGGAUUUAAGCUCCAAAAAUAAAGACCUCUUUCUUUAGAA
rnacentral:tRNA from 1 species